CAUUUAUGAAAUGGAAAGUUAUAAGGAAAUAUUAAGUUGAUUCAAGAAUUUGAUUUAGUGCUGUGGAAUUUAGCCAACCAAUAUUAUACUGCCAAUAAAAAAAAGACAUAGUAAGUUGAUGGUAACAGUAAGUACAACAAAUAAAGAAGGGACAAAGUGAAUGUGAUUCGAUCAACUUGACCUAUAUUCACAAUAAAAAAAGAGCGAAUUUACUAACACCAGUUGAUACAAAAGAGAGUACAAAGCACAAAAGAGAGUAAACAAACUUGAGAGUAUUUUCAUAUUUUCUAUUUGUCAUGGUAUCAGAAUGGUUACUUGCAUACAUUAUUCGUUACUUCCAGUCCUAGGUGUGAUCAUCAUUGCUGAAGCUUGGUAGGAAGGUCAGCCAUAGUAGAAGAUGGAGCUACUUAUAUCGGACAAUCGCAAGCGCGAAUAGAGUACAAUCACCCACUGUUUCUAUAGCCUAAUGAUACACCAGGAACUGUGCCCAUUGGAUUGAAAUUGAUGGGACCAGCAAAAUCCACAUUAUGGAGUCAUUUUCUCACAAUUGCGUUGUUAGGGAAGAACAAAGUAGGGUUCAUCGACGGAAGUUGUUUACAAAGCUUGUACAAAAGAGAUUUAGCGAUAUAGUGGGAUCAUUAUAAUGCUCUGGUAUUAUCGUGGAUAAGCUGCACAGUUACACCUGAGCUGGUUUCAACCAUUGUGUUGGCUUCUACUGCAAAGAAGAAAUACGAUAAAAUCAAGGAGAGGUUCGACAAAUCGAUUUCUCAAGAGUUUAUCAAUUGUGGAGAGAAAUUGCAACUCAUACUCAAGGCUUGUCACCAUGUUAUAGGGACUCGGUUAGGCAAAUCACACCUUGAUUGCCUCUUUUCUUGUACAACUACUCAAUUCAUCAGCUUCACGGAGUUUCUGAGGAUGAUGGCUUUGGUUGGCUCAAACAUUGAUCCGUCUUCUUGUGAGGACAAGAAGAACCCUGGUGAAUCUCGCUUUCUUGCUCAG